rnacentral:rRNA from 1 species
UACGGGGGGAGCAAGCGUUGUUCGGAUUUACUGGGCGUAAAGGGCGCGUAGGCGGCCACCGCAAGUCGACUGUGAAAUCUCCGGGCUUAACCCGGAAAGGUCAGCCGAUACUGCGGGGCUAGAGUGCAGAAGGGGCAACUGGAAUUCUCGGUGUAGCGGUGAAAUGCGUAGAUAUCGAGAGGAACACCUGCGGCGAAGGCGGCGCUCUGGGCCGGUACUGACGCUGAGGAGCGAAAGCGUGGGGAGCAAACAGG